rnacentral:tRNA from 2 species
GCCGCCUUAGCUCAGCUGGUAGAGCGCUCGCCUUGUAAGCGAAAGGUCGUCGGUUCGAACCCGACAGGCGGCUCCA